GUCAAAUUGGUUUGGUGUCUAAAAAUGUCUCUGAUGUUGCUCUUGCUUUCUCUCUCACACGAAUCCCCUUUCAGGCACAGAUGAUAUAAUUGAAGUCACAUUUUCAAGUCAAUAGUGGAAGCAAGGUUUCAGGUGAUUCUGUAGAUUAUAAGCCAUUGUCUCGAAGACUGUCAGAUUGUUUGUGUCUCUCACUCCGGAAGAUGGAUCGACCAGUGCAUUGGAUACUGUUCUCAACUUAAUGCUUGGAGUUCUUGCUUGACUGGAUAGUUCUCGUAAUUUUUCCGAAGUAACAUCCUGUCGCCAGCGAUGGGCUCCAGUAUUUGAGUUGCGGAACUCAAGGGUGCUCGAUAAUUUAAUCGAAUCCAACACAGAGGAGGUAAUCAGUCUUCUGAGAUGCUUCUGUAAGAAAAUGGAAGCAAAAAUGCCGCACUUUAACUUUCGCUAAGGGAAACAUGAAGGAGGAGUUUCGAGAAUCUGUUCUUAUAUAGGGAAGCUUAUGAGCUACUGGAGCGAAUUGCCGCAUAGCAGUAACCUGAUCAUAGAAGUUGAUGAGACUAAAUUGACUCUGAUUCAUGCUUUUUUAUUGGCUUCUAAUGGAUAAGGAUGAAGCACAUAAGGUCUCGAGCAUUAUCUCGCUUUAGGAAUGUUAUGACUAUGAGCAACAUGUAUGAGGCUAUCUGAAAAGUAUUUUUGUCCCGGUGUUCUUCAAUAUGUCGUUUGUUGUUCAAGACGGGAAAUCAUAAAAUAUCAGAAACGCUUGCCUGGAGGCCCUUGCUUCAAUUGCCGCUAAAAUGGAUUGGAAGUCAUACUAUGCCUUUCUCAAGGUGCUUCCAUGAGAUUUCCCUAAACCCAGAGAAGCGAAAGGUGCUCCUUUGGCUAAUCUGCUCAAUUUUGGACCAGUUUCACUUUAUGAAUGCAUUUGCAGAUCAAGGACCAGAUAUCUCAUUGGGCCAUGCUUCGGAUGAUCUUGACAUGACAGUGGGUCUGCUGCUUAUACAGUGAGAAAAUGCAGUUCUGCUACAUUCACAGAGACAGAGACAUCCCUUCAUCCACGUGUGCUUCCUAAGAUGCAGAAACUACUUAACUUGGAGAGUGACAAGGUUAAUGUGAACAUCAAUCUCGCUAUGCUCAAGCUGUUGAAGCAGCUUCCAGGAGAAAUAAUGGAGUCACAACUUCCUAGUUUUAUUCACUGCAUCUCAAACUUCCUGAAGAGUCGUCUUGAGAGUAUUCGUGAUGAAGCAAGGUUAGUUUUAGCGGCCUGUUGAAGCAGCUCGGUGUGGAUUACUUGCAUUUCAUUCUCAAUGUUCUCAAAGCGACUCUUAAACGCGGAUUCAAGGUCCAUGUGUUGGGGUACACCUCGCACUGCCAAGUGUCGAAGGUCCUUAAUGACACUGGUAAGGGGAAGUUGGACUACUGUCUGGAACACCUUCUCUCAGUAGUAGAGAACAACAUCCUUUGAGAUGUCUCGGAAGAAAAGAAGGUGGAGAAGAUUGCAUUCAAAAUGAAAGAGACAAAGAAGUGGGCUUCGUUUGAGACCCUAAAGAUGAUUGCCCAGAACAUUACUUUCAGAAGCCAUGCACGGAAGCUUCUCUCUCCGCUCACUUGCAGAAGCAUUUGACACUGAAAAAGAAGGCAAAGUUGCAGAUCAUGUUGAGCCACAUUGCAGCUGGGAUUGAAUAUAAUCCUUUUGUUGACCAGACCAACCUAUUUAUUUUCUUGUACAGCCUCAUAGAAGAUGGUAUAAAUAACGAAAAGGGUCGUCAGACUCAUGAAGACAACAUUCAGGGCAAAGAAAUCCCGCCCACCCGGGUCAUUGGUGGUGACUCACCAAGUUCACAUGCGAUCAUUGUUUUUGCUCUCAGGCUGCUUCAGACCUGUCUAAAGAAAUUGAAACUUGAUGGGAAUGACAAGUGACUGCUGUCAAUGUUGGACCCUUUUGUUGUGCUCUUGUGCAAAUGCUUGGGUUCCAAGUAAAAGGAUAUAUUAUCCUCUUUUCUUGGAUGCUUAAUCCAUCUGAUCAGGUUGCUUUUGCCAUCUCUCAAGCCUUGAGCUGAUAAAAUCAAAGCAGCUCUAUUAGACAUUGCUGAAAGCACGGCAAACAGCAGCAGCCCAUUGAUGGAAUCAUGUUUAAGGUUGUUGACUGUCCUCCUGCAGAGUACACACAUCAGCCUCUCUUAUAAACAGUUGGCUGUGCUGACUCCGUUCCCAAUGUUUGUCUAGCUUGGUAGGAUUUCUUCUCCUGUUGCACUCUCUCUUCUCAAGGCUAUAAUUCAGAGAAAGUUUGCAGCUCACGAGAUAUGUGAUGUUGUGACACAAGUGCAAGAGUCGAUGGUGACAAGUCAGGUAUGAGCACUGAUCGGGCAGAGAGGCUGUGCUUGAGAUGCUUCACGCAAUUGUGGUUAAGUUCCCUGAACAUAUUUUGGACGAGCAGUCUGAGACGAUUUAUAUCGAUCUGGUGCUUUGCUUGUCGUAUAAGCCACCCAUGUCUCGAUUCUAUUUUUGACUACAGCUUAUCCUGGUAUCUGAGUAAGGAAGAGCAACUACGGGGUGCUGCAGCUCAGGUGGGUGAGAAGAACCAACUAUGGGGUCUUGCCAGGGGAAAAAAAAAAUCAACUAUAGGGUGCUGCAGCACAGGUUCUAGGUUUGCUGGUGCAAGUCAUGAAAACUGCCUUCCAAAAACUCGCAUCUCGAGCAUCUUGCCUGUGACUAGAAGUAUCUUACAGUCAGCUGUCAGUGCAGUUGCAAAUCACGAUUGCCUUUCGGAUUUUGAUCAAAGCAAUGGGAAAGAUUGCCUUUCGGAUGGUGCCUGUUCAGAUGAAAGUUGUAUUCGAUGAUUUCCAAAAGUUCACUUUGCAAAUCAGCGGUCAAGAGUCUUUGCCUUAUUCAGAUCAAUUACUUAUACCGGUCUUCAAAGUUUGCGAAGGACAUGCCGGGAAGGUUGUACCUGUUAGCCCAAGAAAUCUCGGAAUCUCUGAGGAGCACAUUUGGAAUAGAGAAUAAUGUUCGGGUACACGCCCAGACAAGGAAGGAAUUCAAUGACGAGAGGGACAACACGAAGCGGGAUGAGAAGCUCAUGGCAGUCGUGGACCCUGCUAGGAACACAAAGAGGAAGCUCAGGAUUGCUGCCAAGAACUGUGCCAACAAGAGACGCAAGAUCAUGUCCAUGAAAAUGCAGAGAGGUGGAUGCGCAAGCAGCAAAGGGAUGAGAAGAAAGAAACCAGGGAAAAUUCCAACUUGCGGCCUACCUGGAUUUAUUUUGACCGGUCUAUACUUCGGUAGGAGGGGCAUUCAUUCAUAGAUCUGGGUUAAGUUUUGGUAAAAACUAUAUAGGGUUAAUUUUUGGUAAAAACUAUACGUUGGCAAAAACUAUUGGCAGGAGGGGCAUUCAUUCAUAGAUCUGAGUUAAUUGCUAGUUCGACCUUUGACUAGCAAAACUUUUGGUUCUGACCAAAAGUACAGAAUUCGAUUGAGUGGUUCUAAUUUAACUUCGUUGGGAAAAUUGUAUUAUCAAAGCGAUCUGAUCUGCUGCUUCAAUCUGGA